GGCUCAGAACGAACGCUGGCGGCGUGUCUUAAGCAUGCAAGUCGAACGAGAACCAUGGUGCUUCAGCUUGCUGAAGCGCCGGGGGACAGUGGCGAACGGGUGAGUAACACGUAGGUGAUCUGCCCCGAAGUGAGGGAUAGCCUAUGGAAACAUAGGGUAAUACCUCAUGUGAUCCGAGGAUUGGAUGCCUCGGAUGAAAGGCGCAAUUGUGUCGCUUUGGGAUGAGCCUGCGGUCCAUUAGUUAGUUGGUGAGGUAAUAGCUCACCAAGGCGAUGAUGGAUAGCCGGCCUGAGAGGGUGAACGGUCACACUGGGACUGAGACACGGCCCAGACUCCUACGGGAGGCAGCAGCUAAGAAUAGUCCGCAAUGGGGGAAACCCUGACGGUGCGACGCCGCGUGGGUGAUGAAGGCCUGACGGUUGUAAAGCCCUUUUCUCAGCGAAGAAUAAGGUGAGGAGUGGAACGCCUCAUCGAUGACGUUAGUUGAGGAAGAAGCCCCGGCCAAUUACGUGCCA
rnacentral:rRNA from 1 species